UACAGAGGUCCCAAGCGUUGUUCGGAUUCACUGGGCGUAAAGGGUGCGUAGGCGGUCGGGUAAGUCUGAUGUGAAAUCUCCAAGCCUAACUUGGAAACUGCAUUGGAUACUAUCCGGCUAGAGGAAUGGAGGGGAGACUGGAAUACUUGGUGUAGCAGUGAAAUGCGUAGAUAUCGAGAGGAACACCAGUGGCGAAGGCGAGUCCCUGGACAACACCUGACACUGAGGCACGAAAGCUAGGGGAGCAAACAGG
rnacentral:rRNA from 1 species